rnacentral:rRNA from 1 species
UAGGGAAUCUUCCGCAAUGGGCGAAAGCCUGACGGAGCAACGCCGCGUGAGUGAUGAAGGUCUUCGGAUCGUAAAACUCUGUUAUUAGGGAAGAACAAAUGUGUAAGUAACUAUGCACGUCUUGACGGUACCUAAUCAGAAAGCCACGGCUAACUACGUGCCAGCAGCCGCGGUAAUACGUAGGUGGCAAGCGUUAUCCGGAAUUAUUGGGCGUAAAGCGCGCGUAGGCGGUUUUUUAAGUCUGAUGUGAAAGCCCACGGCUCAACCGUGGAGGGUCAUUGGAAACUGGAAAACUUGAGUGCAGAAGAGGAAAGUGGAAUUCCAUGUGUAGCGGUGAAAUGCGCAGAGAUAUGGAGGAACACCAGUGGCGAAGUCGACUUUCUGGUCUGUAACUGACGCUGAUGUGCGAAAGCGUGGAGAUCAAACAGG